GACGAACGCUGGCGGCGUGCUUAACACAUGCAAGUCGAACGGAAAGGCCCUGCUUUUGUGGGGUGCUCGAGUGGCGAACGGGUGAGUAACACGUGAGUAACCUGCCCUUGACUUUGGGAUAACUUCAGGAAACUGGGGCUAAUACCGGAUAGGAGCUCCUGCUGCAUGGUGGGGGUUGGAAAGUUUCGGCGGUUGGGGAUGGACUCGCGGCUUAUCAGCUUGUUGGUGGGGUAGUGGCUUACCAAGGCUUUGACGGGUAGCCGGCCUGAGAGGGUGACCGGGAAAAUGGGGAGAGGGAUGCGGCAGGGGGGGAAGGGGGAGGCAGCAGUGGGGAUUAGUGGACAAGGGGCGGAGGGCUGAAGCAGGGACGCGGCGGGGGGGAUGACGGCCUGCGGGUAGGAAACCGAUUUCGCCUGGGACGAGGCGGGAGGGACGGUAAUGAGUAAAGAAGCAACGGCGAACUACGU
rnacentral:rRNA from 1 species